GCACCCGGGAGGAAAGGCGAGGCUCUGCAUCUAGAUUUACCUCGUUCUCUUUUGUCUCCGCUUUUUUUUCACAUUUCCUUGCGACCCUGGCCCUUGAGCGACAAAAAGGGGAAGCCAAGGCUGGCCCGAGGAACGGAGAGGGCACAUGGCCUAGCCACAAGUGGAGCUUCUGCUCCGCCCGAAGGGAUGCGCUGGAGCGGCCUCUUCCUUCUGCCACGGUCUUUCUUUGCCAACUAAGAUGGGGUUUCACCAGGUUAGCCAGGCUGGUCUUGAACUCCAGACCUCAAGGGAUCCGCCUGCCUCAGCUUUCCAAAGUGCUGGGAUUACAGGUGGAGACUGGACCUCAGAAGAGGGAGUGGGUGCCCCGAGAACUCACAGCUAGCGGACAGUGGAAAGGGCAGGAGCCGGACCAAGGUGAGGACAGUGGAACUGAAGGCCGCUGGUUACCUCUCCUGCCCUCCGCUGGCCACAGUGGAGAAGACAGCCCCUCCCUCCUGCUCUGACCUGACAGUGUUCAUCCAUCGCCCUGUAUUAGCGAAGAACAACAUCAAGCUGGCUAGCAAGGAACUGUAUACAGGGUCCAGCUGGGUAUCACACUGGAUCUCACCCAAAGCUUAGAUGUGAUCCAGCUCAGUAUCACAAAGCAGAACGAAAAGGAUGUGUUUGGGCUGAGAGGCCAUACAUUGGCUCCGGCAUGACGGGUGACUUCUUCCGAGUCUGGCUUCUGCAGCACACAGGGCUUCGCCAGCACCCAGCUCCUGCAGCAUGGGCAGCUCCUGUGACAGCAGGCGCCCGCAGCCUGCAAAGCGUCUCCAGUGCCGCCGCCUCAGUGAACCUCAACCAGCGGCACCUAGCAGCUUUCUCUGCCACCCUCUUCAGGUAGUUCUGUAGCAGCGCGUUUCUCAUGAGACACUUCCCUGUGAGCAGCUUUUUCUACCCUUGAGGAUGGAUUUCCAGCAAAUUCUGCCCAUGUGGUACCACAGCCACUUCUCUGCCAUUCAGUGAAACUGCCGUUGUGCCCUCUUCAAGGUCUGGAUCUAAGCCCAGGGACCAGGAAACCUCUUGCUUGAGUGCUGGAACUCAGGCCAGAAGGACAUCCCUGUAGAAGUUCUGCUGCGUGUGGUCCAGCCGUCCCCACUCCUCCCGGGAGAGGUACAAGGCCACAUCCUCGAAAGUCACUGGCAUCUGAAACAAUGUGAAACAUCCACUCUCCAGGACAUGACGUGGACACGGUGGAGGGACACCAUGGCAUGAGAUGUGUGGUGAGACCCCGGACUCCCAACCCACUGUGUCGAGUGAGGCCUGCCACUUCCAUCUGAUCGGGAAGCAGGUGAGCCACCCAAGGCCUUCUGGGGAGUUGAGAAAGAACAAAGACCAAGAGGUAUUUUCAGGGAUCACAGUUAAGACUUAGGAUGUCCAUGCAGCCCCCAGCCUCAGCUGAGACCUCGGAGGACGGUUCCCAACGGCUACCAGCGAGAGGCCCUGUGUCUCUAAUUCCUGCUGCUUCUCCUCCAGCUUUGGCCCAGGCCUGACCAUGGGCCUUGAGCCUGGACAAUUCCAGCAACACUAGCAAGAGCCCCAGGCUUCAGGCUUGGCUGCAAGUGGGGCCAGCGGGGUCCUGGCUUUCACACAGAACCAGCAGAUGCAGGAAGGGCUGAGUACCAUGCAGGGGCCGGGGAAGGGCCACUCACCUGGGACCAGGCAGUGAGGAGCGCUGCAGCCAUCUGCCGGUCUCUGGUCCUCCCCUCUCGGGAAAGCACGGGGAUCCGGGGGGAGGGGAGGGCUGUGGGAGGAGAGAGGUCCUCACGGUGAUCAGCUCAUCCUGCUGGACCUGCUGCUACUUCAGCUGCCUCAAACUCCACCCCUGGCCCGACCCAAGGACAGGGUCGGAUGGCUCUGACGCUGCCAGGGGGCUGUGGGCCAUGGGGGGAUAGCGUCCCCUGCUGGCAUAGAGACCCUCAGCCCCACCUGGACCUGGGCCAAACCUCCACCUCCCCACAGCUGCCUCCCUGGGAAAGCGCCUCUUCCCCGUCCCUCUCCUACCUCCGCCAGGCAGGAAGAGAGCUUUCUCCUUAGAGCCGUGACUUAGGGGUGCCCAGCCCCAGGCACCUUGAGCCCCAUCCUCCUGCGAUGCCCCCUCGGAGUGUGGCUCUUCGGGCUCCAUCUUAAUGUGCAGUGACUCCUGAGUGUCCCCUGAAGGUACCGCCUCCCCCAGCUUAGAAGGCAUUUCCUGAUGAGGAUGUCCACGAUCUGGAACCUAGAAAGGACAGCCCCAUCAGCACCCAGAUGAGUGGGAGAGACACCCAGGGCCACAUGGCAGUGCGCUCCGGCAGCGUCGGAAACCAACAUGCAAGACGCAGCUUGAAGGACUGUCCUUGCUGCAUUCAUCCAGCUCACCCCAGCAAGGACGGGCGGCAAGAGGAGGAAUAUUCACCAAGCCGCCUCCACAGUGCCGGUGGGCGUGGUGCCCAAGGGCAGCUACCCCUUCUCAGCUCCAGCCUCACACUGACCUCAGCAGUGUAGACUGCUGUCUAUUAGUGUAUGAAGAAACCAAGUGUAGUGGCUUGAAUAGUGUCCUCUAAGAAUCCGUGUCCUCCCUGGACCUCAGAAUGGGACCUUAUUGGGGAAAAGGGUCUUUAUACAGAAUAGGAGAGGACACAGAGACACAGAGAAGGAAGCAGAGACUGGAGGGAUGCCCACACCAAGGACACCAGGAGCCCCCAAGGAGUUGGAAGAGGUAAGGGAGGGUCCUCUUAGUCUAGAGCUUUCAAAAGGAGUGUGACCCUGCUGACACCUAGAUUUUGGACUGCAGGCCUCCAGGACUGUGAGAGAGCCAAUUCUGGUUGUUUUCAGCCCCCCAGAGAGUGGAAACUUGUUACAGCAGCCACGGGAGACUAACACACCAUGGCUGGGGAUGAGACAAUGCCCCGUGACCACAUAGCUCAAAAGCUUUGGGAAAGUCAGGGAGGGCCCUGGUGGGGCCUCAUCCACAGCACAGGAACUGGCCGGACUUCUGCUGGGGUCUCACACUCCUUCCUCCACGCCCUGUCUGUGUUUGGGUCUUGAAGGGAAAGAACCUCAGGCCAGGAAUCAGAGUGCCUGGGUGCCAGACCCAGCGACACCCCUCCCCAAUCAGGCAGCCUUCAGGACGCAGCUGCUCUGCCCCUGCACAGAAUGGUCAUGAGGUUCACGCAGAUAAUGAUGGAGAAGGAGCUGCCAGCUCAGGAAAGUCCUGGAUAAACACAGGGUGGCGCUGGUCAUUAAUCCCCCCCGCCGUGCGCACCAGACAGAAGCCAGUGCCAGCAGAGAAUGCCAACAUGUGGGGCUCUACUGACAUGCCCAAGGUGUUCAAGGCACACGGGAAGUGGAUGGGAAACUGAACCAUGCUAACAAUUCUUUGUGCUUCUAUGGCAUGAAAACCAUAGAUGAUGGCGUCUCAUGCCUAUUAUCCUUAGAGCCUCCCAGUGACCCUGCGAGACAGGUGGAAAUGGCAGGCAUGUGGUCUGCAUUUUACAGAUGACACAUCUGGUUCCCAGAGGCCAGGGACUGGCCCCUGGCCUGUCGCUGACUCAUACUCCUCCAACUCCAAGCCCGGAGACCCAGGUCCCCCACAAAUAGUAAUUACACACACACACUCAACCACGCACGCACACACACACGGGUAGCAGGUACAGGAAGGAGAAAGGACCGGGAGCUCAGACCCACAGAGAUGAGAAGCUGUGGUUCCAGGUGGAGAAGCACGGGGAAGGAGAACAGGUUUCCCUGUGUGCUCUGAGCGCUGCUCAGAAAGAAAACCUCACUGAUAGGACCUCCACCCAGACCUCUUCCAUCUCCUGUGGCCACUGGCUAGAGAAUUCACCAGCAAAGCAAAACUGUUAUGCUGUAAAUUCCAGACAGAGGGUACUACCCAGCAUGCCACCUUCUCUUUGAUCUCCCCACCCCAGUGAGUCUAACUCUUCCAGGGGUCCAGACUCUGUGCCUUGAAAAUCUCCUCCGCACCAGCCUCUUCUACCGCACACCUCCCUCAGCCAGCCCCAUCUGUACCUCCGGGGGUGUCUCCUUGUCCUGGGUGUCCUGGAUGCCUCCGCCGUCUGCAGACAUUUUCUAUUUCAGAGCUAGAAAGAACAGCUGAGUUGUUUCUCCCUCUUUUUGGCCAAGCCCCCUCCAGCUUCUGGCCAGGAGCCUAGAAGAGCAGACAGAAACCAGCCCUCGCUUCCUGGACACCCCCAAAGAGCCCUGAAAAUCCCCACGAGUACCAGCGCUCCC
rnacentral:lncRNA from 1 species